AUGGAGCUUUAGACACCCGGCAGAUCACGUCAAAAACCUUGAACUAACAAGUAAAAACGCAAUGACCCCUAGCCCAUAUGUCUUUGGUUGGGGCGACCGCGGGGGAAAAUAAAGCCCCCAUGUGGACUGGGGGCACUGCCCCCACAGCCGAGAGCUACAGCUCUAAGCACCAGAAUUUCUGACCAAAAAUGAUCCGGCAAACGCCGAUCAACGGACCG
rnacentral:rRNA from 1 species